rnacentral:lncRNA from 1 species
AUGAACAGGCAGAAUACAAGCCAAGUUAACACCAGCCAUGGUGAAACCAGCUGGGAGGACAACCUCUCACAACAAUUUAUUGACUUGGACCAAGGAGGUGAUACACUGAGCCUUGGUACAGAGUUUAAGGAGUCAUUGAAAUCAAUGAGAAUGUCAUUGAAAAAGGAUUUAGAAGUGGUAAUGGACUCCCUUGAUGAGCUAAAGGACUUUGAAAGUGAGUCCUCGGAAGACCUGCGGGAAAACAACCAGGUGUCCAGCCAAGCUAGCACCAGCCAGGCCCAAACCAGCCAGGAGGAGAACCUCUCACACUAUAGUGACUCGGACCAGGAAAGUGAUACACAGAGCCAGGGUUCAGAAAUCAAUGAGUCACUGGCCUUAAGGGGAACGUCACCUACAGAGAACCUAGAAGUGCUAAUGGAUUACUUGUAUGGUAUAGAUGGACUAAAUGGCAUAGGAACUGAGUUCUGGGAAGACCCCUGGGAAAACAACCAGGUUCCCUGCCAAGCUAGCACCAGUCAGGGCCAAACCAGCCAGGAGGCCAACCUCUUACAACAAUAUAGUGACUUGGAGCAAGGAAGUGAUACACAGAGCACAGCUUCAGAAAUCAAGGAGUCACUGAAAUUAAGGGGAAUGCCGCUGGAAGAGAAACUAGAAGUGCAAACCAAAUCCUCCUAUGUUCUGGAGGAGCAAAUGGACAUAGAAAGUGAGUCCGAGGAGGACCUCUCAGAAAACAACCAGCUGCCCAGCAUAGCUAGCUCCAGCCAGGGCGAAACCAGCUGGGAGGAGAACCUCUCACAAUACUAUAGUGAUUCAGACCAAGAAAGUGAUACAGAGAGCACAGGUUCAGAAAUCAGUGAGUUACUGAACUCAAGGGGAAUGUCACUUACAGAGAAGAUCGAAUUACUAAUGAGAUUCUUGAACGGUAUAGAAGGGCUUAAGAACAUACAAAGUGAGUCCUGGGAAGACCUGCGGGAAAACAACCAGGUGCCCAGCCAAGCUAGCACCAGCCAGGGCCAAACCAGCCAGGAGAAGAACCUCUCACAACAAUAUAGUGACUUGGACCAAGAAAGUGAUACACAGAGCACAGCUUCAGAAAUCAAGGAGUCACUGAACUUAAGGGGAAUGCCGCUGAAAGAGAAACUAGAAGUGCAAACAAAAUCCUUCUGUGUUCUGGAGGAGCAAGUAGACAUAGAGAGUGAGUCUGAGGAAGACCUCUGGGAAAACAACCAGCUGCCCAGCAUAGCUAGCUCCAGCCAGGGUGAAACCAGCUGGGAGGAGAACCUGUCACAACACUAUAGUGACUUGGAGCAAGGAAGUGAUACACAGAGCCUGAUUUUAGAAUUUAUAGAGUCAUUGAAAUUAAUGAGAAAGUCAUUGAAAAAAGAUUUAGAAGCUGUAAUGGAAUCCUUUGACAAUCUGGAUUGGCUAAAGGACACAGAAAGUGAGUCCUGGGAGGUAUUCUGGGUAAAUCCCCGGGUGUCCAGCCGAGCUAGCACCAGCCAGGUCAAAACCAGCCAGGAGGAGAAUCUCUCACAACAGUAUAGUGACUCAGACCAAGAAAGUGAUACACAGAGCCUGGGUUCAGAAAUCACAGAGUCAUCGAACUUCUCGAAAAUGUCUUUGACAAAGCAGAUAGAAGUGCUAAGAGAAUCCUUCAACAAUUUGGAGGCUGAAAGGGCCAGACAUAUGGAGUCCUGGAAUGAAGAGAGAGGGUCCCGUCUCUCACAAAUAACCCUGUUGUCCCAAAAACAGCAUGAGCUUGAACUGGAGCUUGAGAGGACGAAUGAAUGCGUAGCCACGCUGCCAUCCACAGUUAGUAGCUUUUGGGAACAACACCAGAAGGACUUAUUGGAAAGUCAACAGAUGGAAGACAAAUGCCAGGAACUGAAUGCCAUCCUUAGAUCAAAUAUCAAGCAAAAGGUGGAUCUUGAAAAACAAAUCGGGCACUUACAGAAGUGUCUGAACAGUCGCAAGGAAAUCCAAGCUUGGGAGUUAGAGAAUAAGAUCAUGCUCAAACAGUUAGAAGAGAAGAAAUCUUACUGUAAGGCACUAUCAGACCUAGAAGAAGAGAAGGCAGCUAAAAUGUUGGAGAUCAAACAAAUAAGGCUUGAAAUUUCCGAAGAGGAAAGCAGGCUCGCUGCAGUAGAAUGUCAACCAAUACCGCCAUCACCAAAGCCGCCAGCACCAAAGAUAUCAAUGUGGAAAAGAUUCACUUGGUGGUUCAGAAAGAAAAUGAACAUCUGA